rnacentral:rRNA from 1 species
AUUGAACGCUGGCGGCAGGCUUAACACAUGCAAGUCGAGCGGGGUGAUGGUGCUUGCACUAUCACUUAGCGGCGGACGGGUGAGUAAUGCUUAGGAAUCUGCCUAUUAGUGGGGGACAACAUCUCGAAAGGGAUGCUAAUACCGCAUACGUCCUACGGGAGAAAGCAGGGGAUCACUUGUGACCUUGCGCUAAUAGAUGAGCCUACGUCGGAUUAGCUAGUUGGUGGGGUAAAGGCCUACCAAGGCGACGAUCUGUAGCGGGUCUGAGAGGAUGAUCCGGCACACUGGGACUGAGACACGGCCCAGACUCCUACGGGAGGCAGCAGUGGGGAAUAUUGGACAAUGGGGGGAACCCUGAUCCAGCCAUGCCGCGUGUGUGAAGAAGGCCUUAUGGUUGUAAAGCACUUUAAGCGAGGAGGAGGCUCUUUUGGUUAAUACCCAAGAUGAGUGGACGUUACUCGCAGAAUAAGCACCGGCUAACUCUGUGCCAGCCGCCGCCGUAA